GACGAACGCUGGCGGCGUGCUUAACACAUGCAAGUCGAACGGAAAGGCCCUGCUUUUCUGGGGUGCUCGAGUGGCGAACGGGUGAGUAACACGUGAGUAACCUGCCCUUGACUUUGGGAUAACUUCAGGAAACUGUGGCUAAUACCGGAUGGGAGCCUUUACUGCAUGGUGGGUGUUGAAAAGUUGCGGCGGUUGGGGUUGGACUCGCGGCUUAGCAGCUUUUUGGUGGGGUAGUGGCUUACCAAGGCUUAGACGGGUAGCCGGCCUGAGAGGGUGACCGGCCACAGUGGGACUGAGAUACGGCCCAGACUCCUACGGGAGGCAGCAGUGGGGAAUAGUGCACAAUGGGCGGAAGCCUGAUGCAGCAACGCCGCGUGCGGGAUGACGGCCUUCGGGUUGUAAACCGCUUUCGCCUGUGACGAAGCGUGAGUGACGGUAAUGGGUAAAGAAGCACCGGCUAACUACGUG
rnacentral:rRNA from 1 species